AGGAGUUUGAUCCUGGCUCAGAAUGAACGCUGGCGGCGUGCUUAACACAUGCAAGUCGAGCGAGAAAGUCUCCUUCGGGAGGUGAGUAAAGCGGCGGACGGGUGCGUAACACGUGGAUGACCUGCCCGGGAGUGAGGAAUAACUUGGGGAAACUCGAGCUAAUACCGCAUACGCUCCCAUGGUUGCGACCAUGGGAGGAAAGCUGGCCUAUAUUUAUAAGCUGGCGCUCACGGAGGGGUCCGCGCCUGAUUAGCUAGUUGGUGGGGUAAUGGCCUACCAAGGCGACGAUCAGUAGCCGGCCUGAGAGGGCGAUCGGCCACACUGGGACUGAGACACGGCCCAGACUCCUACGGGAGGCAGCAGUGGGGAAUAUUGGACAAUGGGGGCAACCCUGAUCCAGCAACGCCGCGUGGAGGAUGAAGGCCUUCGGGUCGUAAACUCCUGUCAGUAGGGACGAAAAGCCCUUGGUCAAUAGCCUUGGGUCAUGACGGUACCUGCAGAGGAAGCCCCGGCUAACUCCGUGCCAGCAGCCGCGGUAAUACGGGGGGGGCAAGCGUUAUUCGGAAUUACUGGGCGUAAAGAGCGCGUAGGCGGCCAGGUAUGUCAAAGGUGAAAUCCCUCGGCUCAACCGAGGAACUGCCUUUGAAACUGCCAGGCUAGAGUCUGGGAGGGGAUAGUGGAAUUCCCGGUGUAGCGGUG
rnacentral:rRNA from 1 species